UACGUAGGGUGCAAGCGUUAAUCGGAAUUACUGGGCGUAAAGCGUGCGCAGGCGGUUUUGUAAGUCAGAUGUGAAAUCCCCGGGCUUAACCUGGGAACUGCGUUUGAAACUACAAGGCUAGAGUGUGGCAGAGGGGGGGUGGAAUUCCACGUGUAGCAGUGAAAUGCGUAGAGAUGUGGAGGAACACCGAUGGCGAAGGCAGCCCCCUGGGUUAACACUGACGCUCAGGCACGAAAGCGUGGGGAGCAAACAGG
rnacentral:rRNA from 1 species